AGAAUCAACGCUGGCGGCGUGCCUAACACAUGCAAGUCGCACGAGAAAGGGACUUCGGUCCUGAGUAAAGUGGCGCACGGGUGAGUAACACGUGAAUAAUCUACCUCCGAGUGGGGAAUAACUGAGAGAAAUCUUAGCUAAUACCGCAUAAUACCCACGGGUCAAAGCAGCAAUGCGCUUGGAGAGGAGUUCGCGGCCGAUUAGCUAGUUGGCGGGGUAAUGGCCCACCGAGGCGAUGAUCGGUA
rnacentral:rRNA from 1 species